rnacentral:rRNA from 1 species
GACGAACGCUGGCGGCGUGCUUAACACAUGCAAGUCGAACGGAGAGGCCCUGCUUUUGUGGGGUGCUCGAGUGGCGAACGGGUGAGUAACACGUGAGUAACCUGCCCUUGACUUUGGGAUAACUUCAGGAAACUGGGGCUAAUACCGGAUAGGAGCUCCUGCGGCAUGUUGGGGGUUGGAAAGUUUCGGCGGUUGGGGAUGGACUCGCGGCUUAUCAGCUUGUUGGUGGGGUAGUGGCUUACCAAGGCUUUGACGGGUAGCCGGCCUGAGAGGGUGACCGGCCACAUUGGGACUGAGAUACGGCCCAGACUCCUACGGGAGGCAGCAGUGGGGAAUAUUGCACAAUGGGCGGAAGCCUGAUGCAGCAACGCCGCGUGCGGGAUGACGGCCUUCGGGUUGUAAACCGCUUUCGCCUGUGACGAAGCGUGAGUGACGGUAAUGGGUAAAGAAGCACCGGCUAACUACGUG